rnacentral:rRNA from 1 species
UUGGAGGGCAAGUCUGGUGCCAGCAGCCGCGGUGAUUCCAGCUCCAAUAGCGUAUAUUAAAGUUGUUGCAGUUAAAAAGCUCGUAGUUGAAUUUCGGAGUUUGUCGGUUGGUCGGGCUUCACUGUCCGCACUGACCUGAUGGAUUCCUACCUUCUGAAUAACCAGCAUGCUAUUAAGUUAGUGCGUUGGGGAAGCAGAGCUAUUACCUUGAAAAAAUUAGAGUGCUUAAAGCAGGCUUAUGCUUGAAUAGAUUAGCAUGGAAUAAUAAAAUAGGACGGCAUGGUUCUAUUUUGUUGGUUUCUAGGAUCACCGUAAUGAUUAAUAGGGAUAGUUGGGGGCAUUAGUAUUCAAUUGUCAGAGGUGAAAUUCUUGGAUUUAUUGAAGACUAACUUCUGCGAAAGCAUUUGCCAAGGAUGUUUUCAUUAAUCAAGAACGAAAGUUAGGGGAUCGAAGACGAUCAGAUACCGUCGUAGUCUUAAUCAUAAACUAUGCCGACUAGGGAUCGGACGAUGUUAAUUUUUUAAUGACUCGUUCGGCGCCUUACGGGAAAC